rnacentral:tRNA from 1 species
GCCAGUGUGAUGUAGUGGUUCGAGUGUUGGAUUAUGACUCUGGAGACCAGGGUUCGAAUCCCCGCUUGAGCG